rnacentral:ncRNA from 2 species
UGAGGUAGUAGAUUGUAUAGUC